ACAUGUCGUUACUCCUCUUCUCGACAAAACGUUUCUAGGGCUAAAAUUCUGUGGUUCGUGAGAUCUGGAUUGAAAUUUAGGCGAACAUCAACUACUACUCUGAUCUCUGGUUCCAUGUCUUACAUUAAACUUUGCUUGAUAUAUCAAAGGUUAGGUUUUCUUAGCUGGGAACAUAUUUUCGAUUCUCUGAACGCUGGGAAUGUAUUUUCAAUUCUCUUAAAUGUCUUUCUUCUUCUUCUUCGCUUGCUCCUGCUCCUUGUUGAUUCAGAAGAUUGUAUGCGAUCAAAGAGACAUAUUCAUCACUUCAACUUCCUUAUACAAAGGAAAACAAUGGUUACUGCAUAAUUGUUACUUAUAGAAAACAAGGCCUGCUCGCGUCUGACCUUGACUAUUAA